GCCGCCGCCGCCACGCGAGGCAUUGUGGGUACCGGGGUCGCGCCGCGCUGAGGGGGCGGGGCUUGAGGCGCUGCCCCGGGCGGUUCAAACCGGCCCCCGCCGCGCCCGCAGCAGUGACCGCCGCUUCCGGGCGCCCUGCCACGGAGCAGAGCUGCGCCUCGUGCUCCCAGCCAGACAGCGAGUGGGAGCCAAGAAAGCCUGCGAAGAGCUGUGUUCCAGCCGGUCUAAUAUCCCCGCUACCCAAAGGACCUCGCCUGAAAGCCAAGCUGGCGCUUUCCUCUGGUCUAAAUUGGUGUCUAGAGACUGACUGGUUCAGAGCGGUCUGAGCUUUAGUAGGCAACAACCUGCCUGGGCUGGUGCUGUCCCCAUUUUACCUUGUGGCUUGGGGUCUACCAUGCUGCUCUGGUCACAAGGCUACCUUUAGUUCCCUCCAGAAUCCAGAGUGCAACCCCUCGUCCUGAGGCAGGAUCAGCCCUGUCCAAACCAUCCUGUACAAUACAUCAUCUAAGCUCUAUGUAAGACUGCUGUCAGCCCAGACAGAACAUGGACCUAACACCAUAAACCUGCCAUAUGUAAAGCAGGGGAACUGUGGCAGUGGGUUCAGUGCUUUUAACUAGUUAUUUGAUUCUCUUGUGGGAGUCUCUAUCCAUCCUUAUCCACUUGUGUUCAAGGAAAAAAACCUCUUUCCUAAAACCAAAAAAUGUGGAGGUAACUUGUAUGCAGGCUAGAUUUAUAAUUGGAAUAUUAUGGUAUCGUUCCUUAAAUUACUGGAAAAGGGGGGGAUGUUACAUCAAAUUCAUAAUACAUAAAUAAACACUGGAUUUAGAGUUAA